AAACACCCUCAGCUCCUCUCUUGUUUCGACGGAAGAGGGGCUGGACUUGAGUGAUCCCAACGGCAGUGAUUUUCGAAGAACUGUUGGCGGGUCGCUUGAAAUGCAGGUGCGGCAGGACACAUCUUCUGAGCUAUAAGCAUUACUUAUUUAGUCCCGUCAAACGGAUUAUAUCUAUUGCUGCAGCUAACAUAAAGGUCGAUUGUCCUUGUGCCCGACUGAUGCAGGAAAAUGAAGGCGGGUCUCUUGUAGACGCGUCCUUUGUUCA
rnacentral:misc_RNA from 1 species